UACGGAGGGGGCAAGCGUUGUUCGGAGUUACUGGGCGUAAAGCGCACGUAGGCGGUGCGGUAAGUCAGGGGUUAAAGGCUGCAGCUCAACUGCAGUAAGGCCUUUGAUACUAUCGUGCUAGAGUGUCAGAGAGGAUGGCGGAAUUCCCGGUGUAGCGGUGAAAUGCGUAGAUAUCGGGAGGAAGGCCGGUGGCGAAGGCGGCCUCCUGGGCCUGCACUGACGCUGAGGCGCGAAAGCGUGGGGAGCAAACAGG
rnacentral:rRNA from 1 species